rnacentral:rRNA from 1 species
GCUAACUCCGUGCCAGCAGCCGCGGUAAUACGGAGGAUCCGAGCGUUAUCCGGAAUCAUUGGGUUUAAAGGGUCCGUAGGCGGAUAGUUAAGUCAGCGGUGAAAGUCUGCAGCUCAACUGUAGAAUUGCCGUUGAUACUGGUUAUCUUGAAUCAAAUUGAAGUGGCUGGAAUAUGUGGUGUAGCGGUGAAAUGCAUAGAUAUCACAUGGAACACCUAUUGCGAAGGCAAGUCACUAAAUUUGUAUUGACGCUGAUGGACGAAAGCGUGGGGAGCAAACAGGAUUAGAUACCCUUGUAGUC